CAGGUACACAGACAGGUACACACACAGGUUCACAGACAGACAGGCACACAGACUGACAGGUACACAGACAGACAGGUACACAGACAGACAGGUACACAGACAGACAGGCACACAGACAGACAGGUG